rnacentral:rRNA from 1 species
GAUGAACGCUGGCGGCGUGCCUAAUACAUGCAAGUCGAGCGAACAGAUGAGGAGCUUGCUCCUCUGACGUUAGCGGCGGACGGGUGAGUAACACGUGGAUAACCUACCUAUAAGACUGGGAUAACUUCGGGAAACCGGAGCUAAUACCGGAUAAUAUAUUGAACCGCAUGGUUCAAUAGUGAAAGACGGUUUUGCUGUCACUUAUAGAUGGAUCCGCGCCGCAUUAGCUAGUUGGUAAGGUAACGGCUUACCAAGGCAACGAUGCGUAGCCGACCUGAGAGGGUGAUCGGCCACACUGGAACUGAGACACGGUCCAGACUCCUACGGGAGGCAGCAGUAGGGAAUCUUCCGCAAUGGGCGAAAGCCUGACGGAGCAACGCCGCGUGAGUGAUGAAGGUCUUCGGAUCGUAAAACUCUGUUAUUAGGGAAGAACAAAUGUGUAAGUAACUAUGCACGUCUUGACGGUACCUAAUCUGAAAGCCACGGCUAACUACGUG